UCCUAUUUAAAUAACAAUAUGUCAAACAUGCCCAGUCAUCAGUUAGCAAGUGUCACUACAGAGAUUUUCAUAUUUAAGUUUCCCUACAUAGCUGUGUAAAGAUUUUAUCUUUUCCCCAAAUAUUAACUUUUAUUUUUUAAGGUUUCUGAUAAUGAGCUCAGGCACAUGAAUUGUUCAGACUACCUCAGGAAAAACAUUCAUUAAGAAGACAAAUGCACUUAACAGACAGCUCAUCGAGCUGAUUACAUACUUUCAGUUUCACCUGCAAGAGAUUAAAGUUGAAUAAAUUCAUGUGUUUCCCUGUAAUUACAUAUGCAGACACCUGCAAUUCCUUACUUUUCACUUCCUCAAAGAAGUAGAUCUAAUUUAUGGUGUUUAAGUGGUACUGAAUAUGCAUUGGCACCAAAUAGGCUUCAAUCUUAAUCUCCCCCAAAAUAAAAAUAGUUGAUUUAAUAACAGUGAGAACAGUGAGAAACCUUGAGAAUCAAUUGCAAGCAAUUGUCUGGCAGUAUUUAAUGUAGUAUUUCUAACUGUGAUUUAAUGUUGUACUUCUAAAUGUGGAUACACCAAUUACUAUGGCAUCCUGAAUUAUUCUUGAGAGUAGAAAGUUCAUUUUUGAAGAUGCUGAUCUGGACUCACAAAGACAGUGGUUGUUGGUGCAAUCUCUGUGCUGAACUUAAGUGCUCAGAAUCCUAUUUUUGUUCUGCAUGAAACAUGACUGGAAACUUCACCUUGAGAACCUUCCAUCAAAACCAGAGUAAGUCAGGCAAAGUGUUCAAGCACUAAUCGGGUGCAGUGGAAGGCACAAGGCACAACAUGACCAUCUCAUAAGAACAGCUAACUCCAAUCAAAUCAGUGAUUCAAUUAUCCCAGUGUCCUGCCUCCAACUGCUGCCAAAAACAGGCGUCUGGGGAAGGAGGAUGUGAUGGGAAAACGACUAGAUAGGUGAAGUGCUCAGCUAGAGCGUGGGAGAGCCAGUCUGUUUCUGGCUCUGUUACAAAGAUACAAGAGAAGCAAGGUGGUGGAAAAUGAAGCAAGGUCUCCACAGAUGCCAGAAAGUCCGAACUGGGAACAAUGUAAUCUGGCCUCUGCCUCCUCCAGCAGCUCAGAUCCUGUGCAGAGUAGAGGUGCUACCACAAUGCAGACCAGCCAAAUGUGAAAAUACGAUGAAGUUGAAAGGAAAAUGUCAAAGCUCUUUUUGUUCUAUCUGAGUUUCUCCUUCCUCUCUUUGAGUAUUGUUACUGAGGCUCCACUGACAGCCACCUUUCCAUAGCCAGAAGGGGUCAUUCAUGUAGAUCUGCUUGAGUCACCACCACCUCCUUCUGAAAGCUCCUAUUGAUAUAAAAAAUUACCAUGUUUGCUAUUUGUGCUCCAAGUGAUCAUGUAAUGAAUAAACUUAAUUGACCAUUC